rnacentral:rRNA from 1 species
CCUACGGGUGGCAGCAGUGAGGAAUAUUGGUCAAUGGGCGGAAGCAUGAACCAGCCAAGUCGCGUGAGGGAUUAAGGCCCUGCGGGUCGUAAACCUCUUUUGCCGGGGAGCAGAGGUCCGGACGUGUCCGGGCCGCGCGAGUACCCGGAGAAAAAGCAUCGGCUAACUCCGUGCCAGCAGCCGCGGUAAUACGGAGUAUUCGAGCGUUAUCCGGAUUUAUUGGGUUUAAGGGGUGCGUAGGCGGGCAUUUAAGCCCGCGGUCAAAUGUCGGGGCUCAACCCCGGCCUGCCGUCGAAACUGGGUGCCUUGAGUGGGCGAGAAGUAUGCGGAAGGCGUGGUGUAGCGGUGAAAUGCAUAGAUAUCACGCAGAACCCCGAUUGCGAAGGCAGCAUACCGGCGCCCUACUGACGCUGAGGCACGAAAGUGCGGGUAUCGAACAGGAUUAGAUACCCCUGUAGUC